UACGGAGGGUGCAAACGUUGCUCGGAAUCAUUGGGCGUAAAGCGCACGUAGGCGGCCUGUUAAGUCGGGUGUGAAAUCCCUCGGCUCAACCGAGGAAGUGCAUUCGAAACUAGCAGGCUUGAAUGUGGAAGAGGGUCGUGGAAUUCCCGGUGUAGAGGUGAAAUUCGUAGAUAUCGGGAGGAACACCAGUGGCGAAGGCGGGAUCCUGGGCCAGUACUGACGCUGAGGAGCGAAAGCGUGGGGAGCAAACAGG
rnacentral:rRNA from 1 species